rnacentral:rRNA from 1 species
CUAAGUUUGAUGGCGACCGGCGCACGGGUGAGUAACACGUAUCCAACCUGCCGAUGACUCGGGGAUAGCCUUUCGAAAGAAAGAUUAAUACCCGAUGGCAUAGUUCUUCCGCAUGGUAGAACUAUUAAAGAAUUUCGGUCAUCGAUGGGGAUGCGUUCCAUUAGGUUGUUGGCGGGUAACGGCCCACCAAGCCUUCGAUGGAUAGGGGUUCUGAGAGGAAGGUCCCCCACAUUGGAACUGAGACACGGUCCAAACUCCUACGGGAGGCAGCAUG